UUCUCUGCCGACCUUUUCAUUUCCCUCAUUGUACUUUUCAACUUUCAAUGUUAAUGUUCUCCGUCUGUAGUUCCAUCAUUUCACGACAGUGUUCUGUCUCUUCAUGUCUCUCACAAUCUCUCUCCUCUCUCUCUUCUUCUCUCUCUCUCUCUCUCUCUCUCUCUCGGCCUCAGUCUUGCAGUGUUUCCCUUUAGCUUUCAGUUGUCCUUGCCUCAUCGGUCGACUGUCUUCUCUCACAUGAUUUGGCCACUACAGAUUCAUCGCCAACUCUCGCUCUCCGUCAAUCCAUUGCCCCUGACUCUCGCACUCAGUUCUCCGUCAACCCAUUGUGUCGAACUCUCCUCCAUGGCCUCACCCUUUACCCCUUUGUUAAAACUCAAAUAUUAUGGAAGAUGAGAGGAUGAAGACGUGAUUGGAUGAUCUGGUUUUUCUCAGAUCUAUAUCACCACCGACUGAAGUCCAAUUGCCGAACCAUUUACCAAAUGCUUUCAGUUUCAAAGGGUUGAGCGGUCGAAAUCGGGUGUUCACACUUCCAACCCGAAUUGGUUGGUUCGAAUGAUGGGUUGAUGACAGAACUGACUUGACUUGACCCUUGAGCAGCCCUAACUUGAACCGUACCCAACAAUCAGAAAAUUGAAGGAAAAAAAUGGAUAGGUAUUUUGCGUACCUGUAUGCAUGCAAAAGUACCCAACUUGUACCCAUACCAGAAACAUACGGGCUUGUUUCCGGGGCAAGUACCAACUGAACUAGUGUCAUGACACCUAUGAAGCACAUACACCUCCCUGAGGCAUGCAUACGAGUGUUGGAAAUCGGGCGAGGUUUUGGAGUCAUUGGUGGUGUGAUGUUGACAUGUUGGAUGUGGCCACUUACCCCAAUGUGGCUUGUGCAGCUUUGAAUGGGAGGCUGCGUUGUAUGAUUAUUUGAAGUGUGAUGGUGGGUGUGUGUUUUAGGAUAUUGAUUUACAGAGGGACUUUGAUGAUUGGGAUUUGGGGGAUUUGUUGGAGUGAGUUCACUGGGGCUGUUGUAUGCUUCUUACAUUGGGGAUGGAGCGGAUCGAAGGUUCUUUUGGCUGCAUUAGUGUAAAUUUUUAUUAUGAGACCCUUGUGGGCUCUAGGGAGGUCUCUCUUCCCUUCGUUAGGGGUUUGGGAUACAAAGAUUCCAUCUAAAGGGCCGUCUUUUGUUUGAUGUGCAGUGCAUGGUAAAAUCCUCCUAUUGACAAUUUGAUUAGAAGAAGGCAGGUGCAUGUAAAUUGGUGCUAUAUUUGCAAGGAUGAUGAGAAGAAUGUGAGCCACCUUCUCAUUCAUUGUGAUGUGGCUCGGGAGCUUUAGCCCUUCUUUUUAUGUUUGGUGUUGAUUGGGUGUUUCCCAAGGAGGUGGAGGAGUUGCUCUGGUACUAGGGAAGAAUUUGAGGAGGUCAAGUUUUGGUGCUUCGCUUCUCGCCUAUUAUGUGGUGGAUUUGAGGUGAGCUCAAUAGGAGAACCUUUGACAGUGGGGAAGAGCCAAUUUUAAAGAUUGUCCUUUUGUAUAGUUGGAUGUGGGGAGGGUUAAUCCUUUCUUGACUCAUUUUUUUUUGAAUUUGUAGAUACUUUUGACUAUUUUUGAUGUACAGUUGAGAUAGCCUUUGUACAUGGGUUGCAUCCUCUUGGUGCCUCUUAAUCAUAUACUUCAUGUCAGAAAAAAACGAAAGAAGAGAGGUUAAUCUCUGAAUAAAAUUAAUUAGAGUACAUGGAUGGCCAGAACAGUGUUUCAAAUGUAAAAAAGUGAGUACAAUUGCUUUGAUAACAUUGUGUACUAUUGUGGGGUGUAAGAUUGAGAGCAAUAACAGUCAGGUUGUAAUGGGAAAAAUACCAGGGAGUGUAUUUGUCUCACCAUAUGUAAUUUUUACUGUUAUUGUAUUGCCCUAUCUCACCUGCUUAUGUAGGUAUUUGCAGAAUCACAUAAAUUCUGUGUAAAUUUUAUUUUAUUGCAUCCAUUGCUUGGGUGGUUUUUUUUCUCAACAAAUCUGUGAUGCAGAGGACAAACAAUUGAAGUAUUUGACAUAAUGUGUGUCUGUAUGCUUUGAAGCAGUGUUUGGAUUGAAAGUGAAUACGUUAGUAAGAGUUCGCUUAUUCCUGUUGGUACUUAAAGGAAUCUAUUAUAUAUAUAUAUAUAUAUAUAUAUAUAUUAUCUUAUGGUUCUUCCUAAUGUCUUUUUGUUUACAGUGGAGGAAAAGAGAAAUUACAAAUUUUUUUUUUAUCGGAAUGGUGAGACAUUGUGCCCUCUCCCAUAGAUUCAAUGAUGUUUGAUGUGUUGCUAUUCGUUCUUUUGCAGAAUGCAUGAUACUCAUGUUAACCUACGAGGCAUGGAUACCUCUUCAGAAGUCACAUACACAUGUCGGACAUGUUGGGGAUAUGUUGGGGGACCCUUUUCAUUUAUUUAUUUUUUACUAGAAUAACAUACCAAGGUUGAUGAAUUUGACGAGAAUAAAUAUUUUGACAUAGAAUAAAUAUAUAACAUUAAGAAAAUAUCACAUAAAAAUUAUAUAAAAUUGUAUGCUUUGCAGGUGUCCCCGACGUGUUGUGUCUUAUAAUUUAAAAAAUUUGCAUGUCCGAGUGAUUGUGCUUUUUAGGUGUUAACCAUGAGAAUGUCCCAAAGCAAGGUACUCUUUCUAGCAGGAUCACUCAUAUAACUUGCCAGACUUCCCUAAAUACACAUUUUUUGUAUUUAUUGUUCACAAUCAAUUAUUUCCCUGCAGCUUAGCUUCCCAUAACAUGCUUGCAAAUUUGACAUAGUUUACUCAUGUUUCAUUGUUAAUUCCUAAGUUUCCAAUCUCAUCCACAAUUAUUUUCUAGGAUAGCAGAACAUGCUUCAGAUGCCAUCAACAGAUUUAUUUCUCAGUUCUGAUCAUGAAAGUAAAAUGGACCAGUUUUUCAUUAUUAUUAUUAUCAUCUCAAAUCAAGUUACUUUCAGUCUCCCUCGCUCCCUAGAAUCACCUUCAGUGGGGAUAAUGUCACUCUUCCUAACUGGUCCAUUUAUCAAUCUUCUUCCUGCAUGCUCAAGCUGUCUCAAUUGAUGUUUCUUAUUUUAUCUACAAUAUGUGCUACCUCUAUGUAGACAUCCUAUUUUUGACCGGCUUUAAGACUUGGGUGCUCUAUGAAAAGCUCCCGAUGAAGAAAUCGGAGAUCGCUCCAAGCAAUAAGUUAGGGAUGGAGAGUGACAAACUUCCCUAUACCUGUUUUGGCUAAAAGAUUUUCUAGACUCUUAAAACCUAUUUUCAAAAUGUUUUUAAGGCAAUUGGUACUUUUUCAUUCAUUUGGCCGUUCUUAGUAGUAUGUUUUCCAAAAGUAUUUAAUUCACUUUUUAAAAAGAGUAAGCUUAGAAAGGCAGAAUGAAUGAGAAAACUCGAGAAACCUUUCAAGAAAAUAAGCUAGAUAAGGCUAGGUCAGCUAAACAGCUUUUCAAAACUACAAGCCGGACAAUUUAUAUCCGGCAGUGAACAUAAUGAUCUCGUGAUGCGUGGCUGGAUCUUUUCAACCUCACCGGAGCUUUUUUUGAAGAAAUACGCCAAACUACUCGAUGCCGGCCGGACAAGUCUUAUCUGGUGCAACCUGUUUUGACGUCAACCAAGUAGCUUUCUUGUGAGGUGUCCCAAGGAUCUUGGAAUAUUCCAUCCGGAUCCUAGAGAUUUAAAGGCACAUUCCAAGCCUUCCAAGCCUAUAAAACCCCCCCUCUUUGGAGGAUUAAGGGUUCCAAAAAUUCUAACUCCUAAAGGAUUCCCUAAAAUUCUAGGUAAUGACUUAGUUAAUUAGGUAAUCAAUCAACUAAUUUGAGUGGGAUUUGGACAUUGGAACUGAUACACUUAAGAUUACUCUCUUCAUCCCUUUGUGUGGAGACUUCGAGCGAGGGACCUCUACUGGCCAGAGGGUGCUUGGAUUAGAGUUUGUGACCAGUUUGGGCCCUCUCUUUACUAGCUUAGAGGUAAUCCCUACUUCCAUUCUUAAAAUUCUUGCAAUUUCUAUUUCUAUUCUUUUUCUGUUUGAAGCUUUCUUGAGAUUUUGAGAUCAUUCUUGGGUGGUUGUUGAUAAUAUAUUUGGAUUCUCUUUUCUUCCUCACCUUUCUGUAGUUGGUGGAGCCUAUAUAGAGACUUUGGCUAAGUUCGAAUUGCUUUUUCUUUUUGUUGAUUUGUUAUGGGUUAAAAACCCAAGCAUGGUUUUCUCUAUGAGAAGAGAUUGGUUCUCUCCUCCCGAACCCAUUUUACAUGGAUUUGAGUAGCUCAUACUCAUUUCAAUGAGUAUGGAGAGGAGAACCCUUCGCUUCUCGUAGAGUUUUCCUUUUUCUAUACUUUUAUAUAUUUUUUUAUUAUUUUGAUAAAUCAUUGAUGAUGUAGAAGCCCAGGCAUGGCUUCCUCCUCGAGUAUAGAUUGAAUCUCCCCUCGCCAUUGUAUUUCAUGAAUUUGGGUAGUUUGUACCUAUUUUCAUGUGUUAGAGGCCGAGAAUCUCUUUAUCCUCGUUGGAGUUCCCUUUAUUUCAUUUUAUUGUAUUUUCAUGAUUAUUAUUCAUUAUAUCCAUUGCGUGCGUUGGAACAGGUCUCCUUUCUCCUAUCUAUACUCUCUAUCUCUUCUUCCCUUUAUCUUAUUUUAGCUUUAUUUUGUCUUCAUAAAAUUUACAUGUCUAGUCUAGGAUCAUGCAUUUGAGCUUGGAGCAUUAUAUUUUGGUAGUUAUGUGGUGUGUAGCUUCAAUGAUUUACAUGCCAUCUUAUUAGAAUCAGGGCUCAUAGGACCCAUCGUGCUUGAAUCUUGCAUUAGCUAUCAUAUCUAGGAUCAUGCAUAUUUCUAAUUAAUUGUUUUCUGUUAUGCUUAGCUGGAGUACUCGGUGAGUUUUCUAGUUUUCUUUUAUCUUCCUUUGCACAUCAUUUAGUUUGAUAUCUAGGAUCAUGCAUUGAUUUCUAACUCUUUAUGCUCAUGGCAUGGUGCGGAGGAGUACUAGGUGAGCCUCUUUCAUCUUCGCAUCCUGAGUAUGUGAUUGUUUCUUAUUGUGUCUAGAAUGAUAGUAUGAGGCUAAGUGCUUAUGUGAUGUAUCUCCAUGUUUGCUCAUUGUGUGGAGGCUUUGUUGCCUAAGUUCGAAUGACUUUGAUCUCUUCGCAUGAUGGUUAUCUCGAUUUUUCAUGAGAUUUCUGCUUUAAAACCCUUUGCAAAUGGCAAGAGAGAUUAGAGCAUUCUGAAAUAGGUGAUUUGGUCUAUACUUGUCUGCUCUACAUAGUAAGGAUAACGAUAAUAAUUGGGCUAUAUAAUCAUAUUGUGUUAAUAAUUCUUUCUCAUAUCAAGAAUUAGUGGAGGCCGAUUUUCGAUCGGAUGAGCAGGGGUGCUCAAUUCAUGACCUUCCCUCCUCAUACCUAACUCUUGAGUCGAGACACUUUGGUUAGGACGGACUAUGGCCUUUGGCACGAGUCAAGGUUUCCUAGUUUCCUCCAAAAGAUUAGGCGGCGACUCUGAGUCUGAUGUGUAGUCCAUUUUGGCAUUUCUUGUGAUUAGUAGAUUUUCUUUGGAUUUGUCAGAUUUGGACUCUCUUUCUACUUUGUAUUGCACUCAUGAAGCCAGACCGAGGGUUUAAACUGUCGGGUUCGUUGGAUGCCCUCCAGGAGAAUUUAUAUUCCUAAUCCUAUAUCCCCUAGUUUUUCCACACAUCCAUCCCAACAUUCUCAUCUGGGUUACAUUCCUUCUACUAACAUGUUUCUUGAUUGUCCAGCAUUAUGUAACCAUAAACUAUAGUUGGUCUCAUAGUCAUCUUGUAAAAUGUUUCUUUAGUCUCAUGGGAAUUCCUUCACUGUUGCACAAUAAGAUACAAGUUAACUGCAUAAAAGUUCUAUACUAUAUUUCAAUCUAAUCAAGCCCUUAACACAACUUUUCUUUUAUAUCUACAAUCAGAUCAUUUACUAUCUAUUUGGAACAAAUCAAGAUCAUUGUUUGUUAUGUUUGAAUAUGUGGAUACUCGGAGAGUUUCAUCAUAUUGUGGUAAACUAGAACAUACUGUAUAUCAAUCUUGUUGAGAUUUCAAUUGGUUUUAGUAGAUAUAUAUUGAGCUUUCUAUCUUUUAUUCUUUUAAUGUUUCAAACCCUUAAUACAAUCUGGAUAUUCGAGUAUUUCUCAUCACUUGUUUUUGUAUGCAUGUUGUAACUGAUGUUUUAACUUGUCCUUUUGAGUAGUCCAAUCAUGCUUAGUGACAUUCAAUUGCUUUUAUGCGCCGUACUCUGAUUUGCUUUAUUAAUUUUUUGCUAACCUAUGUCAAACAAAUUUGUCAUAAUUGAAAUAUUUUAUACUAAUUUUUUUGAGCAGGCAUUGGAUGAAAGGAGGAAAGGAAGAGCAUAGACCCCUUUCUUCAUUUAGCAUAUUGUUUAUAUAUUCAUUAUUCAUUCUUUGUAGAAAGUAAAGAACAAACAAUAAAUAUGUACAAAGUUUAUGGAUUAUUUUCAAUAUAAAAAAUAAGAACAUUUAUAUCUCUCUCUCUCUCUCUCUCUCUCUCUCUCUCUCUCUUCCCCCACAAUGUAGUUAUAAGAAUAAAGGGAGUCACCUCUAGACUAUGAAUUGCAAAGUCGUAUUAGUUUUAGAAUUUGAAUUUCUGUAAUAUUUAUUUAUUUAUUUAUUUAUUGCAGAGAUGAUUAAUCUGCAAUCUCUA